CUACGUGCCAGCAGCCGCGGUAAUACGGAGGGUGCGAGCGUUAAUCGGAAUAACUGGGCGUAAAGGGCACGCAGGCGGUGACUUAAGUGAGGUGUGAAAGCCCCGGGCUUAACCUGGGAAUUGCAUUUCAUACUGGGUCGCUAGAGUACUUUAGGGAGGGGUAGAAUUCCACGUGUAGCGGUGAAAUGCGUAGAGAUGUGGAGGAAUACCGAAGGCGAAGGCAGGUCUCUGGGCUGUAACUGACGCUGAGGAGCGAAAGCGUGGGGAGCGAACAGGAUUAGAUACCCUGGUAGUCCACGCUGUAAACGUUGGGCACUAGGUGUGGGGGCCACCCGUGGUUUCUGCGCCGUAGCUAACGCUUUAAGUGCCCCGCCUGGGGAGUACGGCCGCAAGGCUAAAACUCAAAGGAAUUGACGGGGGCCCGCACAAGCGGCGGAGCAUGCGGAUUAAUUCGAUGCAACGCGAAGAACCUUACCAAGGCUUGACAUGC
rnacentral:rRNA from 1 species